UACGUAGGGUGCGAGCGUUAAUCGGAAUUACUGGGCGUAAAGCGUGCGCAGGCGGUUUUGUAAGCCAGAUGUGAAAUCCCCGGGCUUAACCUGGGAAUGGCAUUUGGGACUGCAAGGCUUGAGUGCGGCAGAGGAGACUGGAAUUCCUGGUGUAGCAGUGAAAUGCGCAGAUAUCAGGAGGAACACCGAGUGGCGAAGGCAGGUCUCUGGGCAUUAACUGACGCUGAGGAGCGAAAGCAUGGGGAGCGAACAGG
rnacentral:rRNA from 1 species